CCUACGGGGGGCAGCAGUGAGGAAUAUUGGUCAAUGGGCGGAAGCCUGAACCAGCCAAGUCGCGUGAGGGAAUAAGGCCCUACGGGUCGUAAAACUCUUUUGCCGGGGAGCAAGGGCGGGGACGUGUCCCGGUCCGGAGAGUACCCGGAGAAAAAGCAUCGGCUACUCCGUGCCAGCAGCCGCGGUAAUACGGAGGAUGCGAGCGUUAUCCGGAUUUAUUGGGGUUAAAGGGUGCGUAGGCGGGCUUUUAAGUCAGCGGUAAAAAUUAGGGGCUCAACCCCGUCCGGCCGUUGAACGUGGGGGCCUUGAGUGGGCGAGAAGAAGGCGGAAUGCGUGGUGUAGCGGUGAAAUGCAUAGAUAUCACGCAGAACCCCGAUUGCGAAGGCAGCCUUCCGGCGCCCUACUGACGCUGAGGCACGAAAGUGCGGGGAUCGAACAGGAUUAGAUACCCGGGUAGUC
rnacentral:rRNA from 1 species